GGGGUUGAGUCACGACACUGGAUAUGCUGAUUUGGCUGCCAAGCUCCUUCAACAUUCCACCACAAUGCCCUUUUCCAGGAAGAGUGAGCAGUGGGAGUGCUUUAGAACCUGGCAUCCAAGGGACCUGGUGGGAAGGGGGAGUGAAGAAGUAAAGCUACAGCAAUAUGCCCAGUGAAUAGGUCCUAGGGUGAGCCCUCAGCACUUUGGAUACUGGAGUCAAGCCCUCUUUCUUCUGCUGUCCUCCUUGAAGCUCCACUCAGUGUCAGAGAGGGAAGACUAUUUAAGAUCACCCACCAUAUUAGUAGGAUUUCUCAGAAACAGAACCAACAGCAUGUGUAUUUAUAGAAAGAGAUUUAUUACAAGGAAUUGGCUGAUGUGAAUAUGGAAGCUGGAGAGUCUAAAAUCUGCAGUGUAGGACAGCAGGCUAGAAACUUGGGAGAGCUGAUUAUACACAAUCCUAAGGCAGUCUGCUGGAGAAUUUUCUCUUGCUCAGGGAUGCUAGUCUUUUUGUUCUAUUCAGGCCUUGAACUGAUUGGAUGAGGCCCACCCCAUUAGGGAGGGCAAUCUGCUUUACCCAAAGUUUACUGAUUUAAAUGUUAAUCCCAUCUAAAAAUAUCCUCUGAAAUGUGAAAGGGAAGUUCACUAUGCCAAAAGAAAAAAAUUAAGCAGAAGGUAAGUCAUGCAAGCAACGGCCUUUCCUUUUGUUCCUAGGCCCAUAGCUACUGAUAAAAGAUUAAAUAUCUCCACUCUAUGUUCACCCUACCUUGUGUAAAGCACCGAUUUACUGAGCAUGAGACGGAAACAUAAUUGACUAUUCCCUUACCUUCUUCUCCUUUUAUCUUGCAAUAUGUGGAUUUAGUAAUGUGACCCUACCCUCCCUAUUUCUUCUCCACCCUGCUUUCACCCUUUAAAUAUUGAAGUCCUAAAAAAUUAUCAUUGGGGAAAGCACAGACCUGUUUCUGGAGUGGUCCUUAACCUUGGCAAAAUAAACUUCUAAGGUGAUUUGAGACCCGUCUCAGAUAAUUUUUGGUUUACAAAAUUCACACAUAAAAUUAACUACCACACCCGUUUUUUCCCUUGAUUGACUCUGUGAGACUGAGUUUUCUCCUUUAGUCAUCUGAGUACCACCUUCAAGAUUUUUGCAAUAUCUGUGUAUAUAUAAUAAUAAUAUUCUUAUUUAUUUAUUUAGAGACAGAGUCUCGCUCUGUUGCCCAGGCUAGAGUGCAGUGGCGCGAUCUCGGCUCACUGCAACCUCUGCCUCCAAGGUUCAGGAGAUUCUCCUGCCUCAGCCUCCUUAGUAGCUGGGAUUACAGGUGCGUGCCACUAUGCCCGGCUAAUUUUUGUAUUUUUGGUAGAGACGGGGUUUCACCAUGUUGGCCAGGCUGGUCUUGAACUGCUGACCUCAUGUGAUCCACCCACCUCGGCCUCCCAAAGUGCUGGGAUUAGAGGCAUGAGCCACAAUGCCCGGCCUAAUAUUUUUGAACCAAUGUUAACUACUCACUUAAGAAUUUAGCCUUACACUAAUAUUUGAGAUAACCGGUUUGUUGGGCUGGUUUUAGUAUUUUCUAACACAAAUAAGAAUAAAUACUCAAACAUUCUUAAAAAGUGCAUGUAGCACUUAAGACUAUCUUGGUACUCCAUUUGGGAAACCAUGUAGCCAAGGCUGUUGGGGCGAACCAAGGUGGUGGGAGUCCGACGGGCCAGCAGGGGGCGCACUUGCAGGUCACCUGAAGUCCUUAUUUACGGGAUAAGGUGGAGGCUGAGGAAAGUCUUUCAGAGGCCGGACGCUGGCACUGGACGGAGUAGGGAACCCUAGCCGUUAUCCCACCAAAGGGUCCCAGCGCCUAGAGGGGCUGCGGAAAGCUCCUACAAUACGAGGAGCCCUUGGAGCCCAGAGCGGGAUCCUGCGAGCCGAGGCCCCGUUCUCUGUUAGGAUCACGGGGACUGCCCCAGGCAGCUGCUGGGCCCGGUCGCGGACCUCGGCCAGAACAUCCUCCCAGAACACAGAGGAAUCUGACAUCAGUGGCCUCCCUUGGUAGAGGUGGGGAGCCGAGGGGCGGCAGUGUGGAAGGGCCAUCGGCCUAGGUCUUUCGUAUCCCCUCCGGCCUCUCGGGGCUGUGCGUUCGGAAACAGCGAAAGGAACGGCCUCAGGAAUCUGGCCUCAGCCGGAGCACUGGUGAACACAGGCUCCCGUCGCGCCAAGGGAAGUAGGAAAAGCUGCUUCCGGGCGGAGGGGCUGCACUUCCGGGGCCCGCGUCCCCCGGCGGCUUCGCCGAGAAGGGGCUUUGGGAGCUUAAGGGCGCCGGCACGCGUUCCCCUGGCGCAGAGCUCGCUAGCCGGGGCGCGGGCUGCCUCCUUGUUCUGGUGUGAUCCGAAUGUAACGGAGCGGACUUUGGGAUCCAGAACCCCGGACUGAGCUGCAGUUCCUGAUACUGGUUUUUCUACAUGCUUCAGCCAAAGACAUAUACUCUUUGAUCCCUGAGAACACUAUUUCCUCAGUGUCUUUGCACAUGGAGUUCACUUCUCUGCUUGUGAAGUCUAUGAAUAUUGCAUGGCUGAUUUGUCACAAUUUUAAGUCUUCAACAUCUGGAGUGUUCUGGCAAGAAUUUGUAGGAAAAAUUUUUGAAUCAUCAGAUUACCAUAGCACAACCUUGGAGAAUAAAACUCUUUUGCUCUGAAGCUCAUCUAAUAACCUGAUAUCUCUCAAAUGAAUCUAUCCAAUGACAGGGAAUACCCCAUGUUAAACAGCUGAUUCUUGUUCUGAAUACGUUUAUUAUCUUGUAGUUAGUAAAUAAAUCAAUUGGAC
rnacentral:lncRNA from 1 species